rnacentral:rRNA from 1 species
CUGGCAAGCUUGAGUCUCGUAGAGGGGGGUAGAAUCCCAGGUGUAGCGGUGAAAUGCGUAGAGAUCUGGAGGAAUACCGGUGGCGAAGGCGGCUCGCUGGACGAAGACUGACGCUCAGGUGCGAAAGCGUGGGGAGCAAACAGGAUUAGAUACCCUGGUAGUACACGCCGUAAACGAUGUGUAUUUGGAGGUUGUUUCCUUGAGGAGUGGCUUCCGGAGCUAACGCGUUAAAUAGACCGCCUGGGGAGUACGGCCGCAAGGUUAAAACUCAAAUGAAUUGACGGGGGCCCGCACAAGCGGUGGAGCAUGUGGUUUAAUUUGAUGCAACGCGAAGAACCUUACAUACUCUUGACAUCCACGGAAUUUAGCAGAGAUGCUUUAGUGCCUUCGGGAACCGUGAGACAGGUGUUGCAUGGCUGUCGUCAGCUCGUGUUGUGAAAUGUUGGGUUAAGUCCCGCAACGAGCGCAACCCUUAUCCUUUGUUGCCAGCGGUUCGGCCGGGAACUCAAAGGAGACUGCCAGUGAUAAACUGGAGGAAGGUGGGGAUGACGUCAAGUCAUCAUGGCCCUUAUGAGUAGGGUUACACACGUGCUACAAUGGCAUAUACAAAGAGAAGUGACCUCGCGUGAGCAAGCGGACCUCAUAAAGUAUGUCGUAGUCCGGAUUGGAGUCUGCAACUAGACUCCAUGAAGUUGGAAUCGCUAGUAAUCGUAGAUCAGAAUGUUACGGUGAAUUCGUUCCCGGCGGCCUUGUACACACCGCCCUGUCACACCAUGGGAGUGGGUUGCAAAAGAAGUAGGUAGCUUAACUUUCGGGAGGGCGCUCUACCACUUUGUGAUU